AAAAGAAACUAACAAGGAUUCCCCUAGUAACUGCGAGUGAAGCGGGAAAAGCUCAAAUUUAAAAUCUGGCAGUCUUUGGCUGUCCGAGUUGUAAUUUAGAGAAGCAUUGCCCGCGCUGGACUGUGUACAAGUCUCCUGGAAUGGAGCGUCAUAGAGGGUGAGAAUCCCGUAUAUGACACAGUUGCCAGGGCUUAGUGGCAUGCUCUCCAAGAGUCGAGUUGUUUGGGAAUGCAGCUCAAAAUGGGUGGUAAAUUCCAUCUAAAGCUAAAUAUAGGCGAGAAACCGAUAGCGAACAAGUACCGUGAGGGAAAGAUGAAAAGAACUUUGGAAAGAGAGUUAAACAGUACGUGAAAUUGUUGAAAGGGAAACGCUUGAAGUCAGUCGCAUUGCUGGAAAUCACGCUUGCUUUUUUGCUUGUGGCUCUUUCCUAGUAAUGGGUCAGCAUCAGUUUUGAUUGUUGGACAAGGGUCAGAGGAAUGUGGCAUCCUUGGAUGUGUUAUAGCCUCUGAUCAUAUGCAAUGAUUGAGACUGAGGAACUCGGCACUUGUGCUUAGGAUGCUGGCAUAAUGGCU
rnacentral:rRNA from 1 species